rnacentral:rRNA from 1 species
UACGAAGGGGGCUAGCGUUGCUCGGAAUCACUGGGCGUAAAGCGCACGUAGGCGGCUUUCUAAGUCAGGGGUGAAAUCCUGGAGCUCAACUCCAGAACUGCCUUUGAUACUGGAGAGCUUGAGUCCGGGAGAGGUGAGUGGAACUCCGAGUGUAGAGGUGAAAUUCGUAGAUAUUCGGAAGAACACCAGUUGCGAAGGCGGCUCACUGGCCCGGUACUGACGCUGAUGUGCGAAAGCGUGGGGAUCAAACAGG